rnacentral:rRNA from 1 species
UACAGGGGGGGCGAGCGUUGUUCGGAAUUACUGGGCGUAAAGGGUUUGUAGGUGGCUUGCUCAGUCAGACGUGAAAUCCCUCAGCUUAACUGGGGAACUGCGUCUGAUACUAGCGAGCUUGGGUGCAGGAGAGGAACGCGGAAUUCCAGGUGUAGCGGUGAAAUGCGUAGAUAUCUGGAGGAACACCGGUGGCGAAGGCGGCGUUCUGGACUGCAACUGACACUGAAAAACGAAAGCCAGGGGAGCAAACGGG